UGUAAAGCAAUGAUAGGACGAGUAAAUUAGUAAACGGUCUAAAGAGAGGGGAAGCCGUGGCUGAAAGCGACCCUAGAUUAGUCUAAUUGAAAACUACCCUUGAGUUGUAUCUGAAACCAGUUUACUGGGUAAGGAUUUCCGUUGAUUACGUUACAAUCACUUGAGUGGAAUCUUUAAGCUUUUUAAAGAUUCUAAUUAGGGUGGUACCGUGGGAACAUAGCUCUCGCCCCUAGA
rnacentral:ncRNA from 1 species